UGAUGGAAUAAUGAGUCGCCUC
rnacentral:siRNA from 1 species